UACGUAGGGUGCGAGCGUUGUCCGGAAUUAUUGGGCGUAAAGAGCUCGUAGGCGGUUUGUCGCGUCGGAUGUGAAAACCCAGGGCUCAACCCUGGGCCUGCAUUCGAUACGGGCAAACUAGAGUAGGGCAGGGGAGACUGGAAUUCCUGGUGUAGCGGUGAAAUGCGCAGAUAUCAGGAGGAACACCGGUGGCGAAGGCGGGUCUCUGGGCCAAAACUGACGCUGAGGAGCGAAAGCGUGGGGAGCGAACAGG
rnacentral:rRNA from 1 species